rfam:Haemonchus placei strain MHpl1 genome assembly, scaffold: HPLM_scaffold0001960
GGCCCAAAUUUGAAGUAGAGUAGAUUGGUAGGGUCAGCUGACCAUACUAAUCUACUCUACUUCAAGUUUGUGCUC